UACAGAGGUCCCAAGCGUUGUUCGGAUUCACUGGGCGUAAAGGGUGCGUAGGUGGUAAGGUAAGUCUGAUGUGAAAUCUCCAAGCUCAACUUGGAAAUGGCAUUGGAAACUGCUUUGCUUGAGAUUUGGAGGGGGGACUGGAAUUCUCGGUGUAGCAGUGAAAUGCGUAGAUAUCGAGAGGAACACCAGUGGCGAAGGCGAGUCCCUGGACAACAUCUGACACUGAGGCACGAAAGCUAGGGGAGCAAACAGG
rnacentral:rRNA from 1 species